CCUACGGGAGGCAGCAGUAGGGAAUCUUCCGCAAUGGACGAAAGUCUGACGGAGCAACGCCGCGUGAACGAUGAAGGCCUUCGGGUCGUAAAGCUCUGUUGUUAGGGAAGAACAAGUGCUAGUUGAAUAAGCUGGCACCUUGACGGUACCUAACCAGAAAGCCACGGCUAACUACGUGCCAGCAGCCGCGGUAAUACGUAGGUGGCAAGCGUUGUCCGGAAUUAUUGGGCGUAAAGCGCGCGCAGGCGGUUUCUUAAGUCUGAUGUGAAAGCCCCCGGCUCAACCGGGGAGGGUCAUUGGAAACUGGGAAACUUGAGUGCAGAAGAGGAAAGUGGAAUUCCAAGUGUAGCGGUGAAAUGCGUGGAGAUUUGGAGGAACACCAGUGGCGAAGGCGACUUUCUGGUCUGUAACUGACGCUGAGGCGCGAAAGCGUGGGGAGCAAACAGGAUUAGAUACCCUGGUAGUCCACGCUGUAAACGAUGAGUGCUAAGUGUUAGAGGGUUUCCGCCCUUUAGUGCUGAAGUUAACGCAUUAAGCACUCCGCCUGGGGAGUACGGUCGCAAGACUGAAACUCAAAGGAAUUGACGG
rnacentral:rRNA from 1 species